rnacentral:snRNA from 1 species
UUGCUUUGGCAGCACAUGUACUAAAAUUGGAAUGAAACAGAGAAGAUUAACAUGCCCCCUGCGCAAGGAUGACAUGCAUAUUCAUGAAGAUGGGGAUGUCUUU